rnacentral:rRNA from 1 species
AUUGAACGCUAGCGGGAUGCUUUACACAUGCAAGUCGAACGGAGUGGCGAACGGUUGAGUAAUGUAUCGGAACGUGCCCCGUCGCGGGGGAUAACUACGCGAAAGCGUAGCUAAUACCGCAUACUAUUGGAGCGGCCGAUAUCGGAUUAGCUAGUUGGUGAGGUAACGGCUCACCAAGGCGACGAUCCGUAGCUGGUUUGAGAGGACGACCAGCCACACUGGGACUGAGACACGGCCCAGACUCAGACGGGAGGCAGCAGUGGGGAAUUUUGGACAAUGGGGGCAACCCUGAUCCAGCCAUCCCGCGUGUGCGAUGAAGGCCUUCGGGUUGUAAAGCACUUUUGGCAGGAAAGCGGUACCUGCAGAAUAAGCACCGGCUAACUACGUGCCAGCAGCCGCGGUAAUUC